rnacentral:rRNA from 1 species
GCGAAUUCGCCCUUCGGGGUGCAGCAGGCGCGAAAACUCCACAAUGUUCGGAAGUACGAUGGGGUUAUCUCGAGUGCAGUCCGAUAAGGGCUGCUUUUCCAUAGAGUAAUAUCCUGUGGGAAUAAGAGGGGGGCAAGACUGGUGUCAGCCGCCGCGGUAACACCAGCCCCUCGAGUGGUGGGGACUAUUAUUUGGUCUAAAGCGUCCGUAGCUGGCUGUAUCCGUCCCCCGUUAAAUCCAGCGUCCUAAGCGUUGGACUGCGGGUGAUACCAUACAGCUAGAGGGUGGGAUAGGUGAGCGGUAUUUCUGGGGUAGGGGCGAAAUCCUUUGAUCCCAGGAGGACCACCAGUGGCGAAGGCUGCUCACUAGAACACGCCUGACGGUCAGGGACGAAAGCUGGGGCAGCGAACCGGAUUAGAUACCCGGGUAGUCCCAGCUGUAAACGAUGCUAGCUAGGUGUUGGGUCGGCCACGCGCCGCCCCAGUGCCGCAGGGAAGCCGUUAAGCUAGCCACCUGGGGAGUACGGCCGCAAGGCUGAAACUUAAAGGAAUUGGCGGGGGAGCAC